UACGUAGGGUGCAAGCGUUGUUCGGAAUUACUGGGCGUAAAGGGAGUGUAGGCGGGAUCGUAAGUUAGGAGUUUAAUCCACGGGCUCAACUCGUGGUCUGCUUUUAAUACUGCGGUUCUUGAGUAUGGGAGAGGGCGAUGGAAUUCCAGGUGUAGCGGUGGAAUGCGUAGAUAUCUGGAAGAACACCAGUAGCGAAGGCGGUCGCCUGGCCCAAUACUGACGCUGAGACUCGAAAGCUAGGGGAGCAAACAGG
rnacentral:rRNA from 1 species